rnacentral:rRNA from 1 species
GUGUCAGCAGCCGCGGUAAUACGUAGGUGGCAAGCGUUAUCCGGAAUUAUUGGGCGUAAAGCGCGCGCAGGUGGUUUCUUAAGUCUGAUGUGAAAGCCCACGGCUCAACCGUGGAGGGUCAUUGGAAACUGGGAGACUUGAGUGCAGGAGAGAAAAGUGGAAUUCCUAGUGUAGCGGUGAAAUGCGUAGAGAUUAGGAGGAACACCAGUGGCGAAGGCGGCUUUUUGGCCUGUAACUGACACUGAGGCGCGAAAGCGUGGGGAGCAAACAGGAUUAGAAACCCUCGUAGUCC